AUUGAACGCUGGCGGCAUGCUUUACACAUGCAAGUCGAACGGCAGCGCGGGCUUCGGCCUGGCGGCGAGUGGCGAACGGGUGAGUAAUACAUCGGAACGUGCCCAGUAGUGGGGGAUAGCUCGGCGAAAGCCGGAUUAAUACCGCAUACGACCUGAGGGUGAAGGCGGGGGAUCUUCGGACCUCGCGCUAUUGGAGCGGCCGAUGGCAGAUUAGCUAGUUGGUGGGGUAAAGGCCUACCAAGGCGACGAUCUGUAGCUGGUAUGAGAGGACGACCAGCCACACUGGGACUGAGACACGGCCCAGACUCCUACGGGAGGCAGCAGUGGGGAAUUUUGGACAAUGGGCGAAAGCCUGAUCCAGCAAUGCCGCGUGUGUGAUGAAGGCCUUCGGGUUGUAAAGCACUGUUGGCGGGAACGAAAAGGACUGUGCCAAUACCACGGUUCGAUGACGGUACCCGCAGAAUAAGCACCGGCUAACUACGUG
rnacentral:rRNA from 1 species